rnacentral:rRNA from 1 species
GACGAACGCUGGCGGCGUGCUUAACACAUGCAAGUCGAACGGUGAUGCUCCAGCUUGCUGGAGUGGAUCAGUGGCGAACGGGUGAGUAACACGUGAGCAACCUGCCCCAGGCUCUGGAAUAAGCGCUGGAAACGGCGUCUAAUACUGGAUACGAAACUGGCCCGCAUGGGCAUGGUUUGGAAAGUUUUUCGGUUUGGGAUGGGCUCGCGGCCUAUCAGCUUGUUGGUGAGGUAAUGGCUCACCAAGGCGACGACGGGUAGCCGGCCUGAGAGGGCGACCGGCCACACUGGGACUGAGACACGGCCCAGACUCCUACGGGAGGCAGCAGUGGGGAAUAUUGCACAAUGGGCGAAAGCCUGAUGCAGCGACGCCGCGUGAGGGAUGACGGCCUUCGGGUUGUAAACCUCUUUCAGCAGGGAAGAAGCGAAAGUGACGGUACCUGCAGAAGAAGCACCGGCUAACUACGUG